GACACCGCUCUUCCGAUCGCUGCAGUCCUUGUUUUUGGGUGGAUCACUGGGUAUGUGGCACAGUCCAUGCUUUUAACCAGAUUUGAA